rnacentral:rRNA from 1 species
UGCCAGCCGCCGCGGUAACACGGGGGGCGCAAGCGUUAUUCGGAAUUAUUGGGCGUAAAGGGCGCGCAGGCGGUCUUGUCCGUCAGGUGUGAAAGCUCGGGGCUCAACCCCGGAAGUGCACUUGAAACAGCAAGACUUGAAUACGGUAGAGGAGAGAGGAAUUCCUGGUGUAGAGGUGAAAUUCGUAGAUAUCCGGAGGAACGCCGGUGGCGAAAGCGACCUUCUGGGGUGCUUGUGACGCUGAGGCGCGAAAGCUAGGGGAGCGAACGGGAUUAGAUA